CGCAAAACAUAAACCUGAAGGGACAUAUACCAUCAAACAAAACAGGAAAGGGAAAAAAUAAAAAGAAAAGCAGCAAGCAAAAGAAAAUGAAGCAUAAUGGAGGAAAAUGAUAUGUGCUGCCUUGUUCCCCAAUUUCAGAUAAAAUGCAUAAGUCAAUCUCUUGCUUGAAAUGGCAUUCACUCGAUUACUGAUUACACCCCUACUUUUGUUUAUGCCCGCUUGUUCUAAUGCCAGACAAAACUCAAAACAUAAUCAUUUAUUGUUUCAAUCAGUUUAAGAAAACGAAACAGGACUCCGAAGGUAUAAGCUCUCAACAAG
rnacentral:misc_RNA from 1 species